UACGAAGGGGGCUAGCGUUGUUCGGAUUUACUGGGCGUAAAGCGCACGUAGGCGGAUCGUUAAGUCGGGGGUGAAAUCCUGGAGCUCAACUCCAGAACUGCCUUCGGUACUGGCGAUCUUGAGUCCGGAAGAGGUGAGUGGAACUCCUAGUGUAGAGGUGGAAUUCGUAGAUAUUCGCAAGAACACCAGUGGCGAAGGCGGCUCACUGGCCCGGUACUGACGCUGAGGUGCGAAAGCGUGGGGAGCAAACAGG
rnacentral:rRNA from 1 species